rnacentral:rRNA from 1 species
UUUCUGCGACCUACCAUGGGGUGACCACGGGGUUAACGGGGAAUCAGGGUUCGAUUCCGGAGAGGGAGCCUGAGAAACGGCUACCACAUCCAAGGAAGGCA